UUAAUGGAGAGUUUGAUCCUGGCUCAGGACGAACGCUGGCGGCGUGCCUAAUACAUGCAAGUCGAGCGGGGUUGUUUAGAAGCUUGCUUCUAAACAACCUAGCGGCGGACGGGUGAGUAACACGUAGGCAACCUGCCCACAAGACAGGGAUAACUACCGGAAACGGUAGCUAAUACCCGAUACAUCCUUUUCCUGCAUGGGAGAAGGAGGAAAGACGGAGCAAUCUGUCACUUGUGGAUGGGCCUGCGGCGCAUUAGCUAGUUGGUGGGGUAAAGGCCUACCAAGGCGACGA
rnacentral:rRNA from 1 species